UGGGGAAUAUUGCACAAUGGGCGCAAGCCUGAUGCAGCCAUGCCGCGUGUGUGAAGAAGGCCUUCGGGUUGUAAAGCACUUUCAGCGGGGAGGAAGGCGAUAAGGUUAAUAACCUUGUCGAUUGACGUUACCCGCAGAAGAAGCACCGGCUAACUCCGUGCCAGCAGCCGCGGUAAUACGGAGGGUGCAAGCGUUAAUCGGAAUUACUGGGCGUAAAGCGCACGCAGGCGGUCUGUCAAGUCGGAUGUGAAAUCCCCGGGCUCAACCUGGGAACUGCAUUCGAAACUGGCAGGCUAGAGUCUUGUAGAGGGGGGUAGAAUUCCAGGUGUAGCGGUGAAAUGCGUAGAGGUCUGGGGGAAUACCGGGGGCGAAGGCGGCCCCCUGGACGAAGACUGACGCUCAGGUGCGAAAGCGUGGGGAGCAAACAGG
rnacentral:rRNA from 1 species